UAGGGAAUCUUCCGCAAUGGGCGCAAGCCUGACGGAGCAACGCCGCGUGAGUGAUGAAGGCCUUCGGGUUGUAAAACUCUGUCUUCUGUGAAGAACAAGCCUGUGAGUGGAAAGCUCAGGCCCUGACGGUAACAGAGGAGGAAGCCCCGGCUAACUACGUGCCAGCAGCCGCGGUAAUACGUAGGGGGCAAGCGUUGUCCGGAUUCACUGGGCGUAAAGCGCGCGCAGGCGGUCAUCUGCGUCCGGGGUGAAAACCCAGAGCUCAACUCUGGGACUGCCUUGGAUACGGGGUGACUUGAGGAUCGGAGAGGCAAGGGGAAUUCCACGUGUAGCGGUGAAAUGCGUAGAGAUGUGGAGGAACACCUGUGGCGAAGGCGCCUUGCUGGCCGAUUUCUGACGCUGAGGCGCGAAAGCGUGGGGAGCAAACAGG
rnacentral:rRNA from 1 species